rnacentral:pre_miRNA from 1 species
AAACCGCCCCCUAAGUUUUGCAACUGUAGCAGUUUUGGCCCCCCAAGGCCAAUUUGUGGUAAAAAAUAAAAUAAAAAAUAACACGUGGCACCUCACUUAGGGUGCCACGUCAGCGUAGACCGAGUCAAAAUUGGCCUUGGGGGCCAAAACUGCCACAGAUGCAAAACUUAGGGGGCGGUUU